rnacentral:tRNA from 1 species
GUGGUGGUGGCUUAAUAUUAGAGCACUUGCCUGGCAUGUAUGAGACCCUGGGUUCAAUUCUCAGCACUGCA